UACGUAGGGUGCGAGCGUUGUCCGGAAUUACUGGGCGUAAAGAGCUCGUAGGUGGUUUGUCGCGUUGUCCGUGAAAACUCACAACUCAAUUGUGGGCGUGCGGGCGAUACGGGCAGACUGGAGUACUGCAGGGGAGACUGGAAUUCCUGGUGUAGCGGUGGAAUGCGUAGAUAUCUGGAGGAACACCAGUGGCGAAGGCGGCUUCCUGGCCUGUAACUGACGCUGAUGCGCGAAAGCGUGGGGAGCGAUCCGG
rnacentral:rRNA from 1 species